AACUAAGUUUGUUAUUGGUAUGAGCUUUCGUGUGCAUGCACAGGUAUCUGAAGAAGUGUGCAUGCACAUGAAAGCUCAUACCAAUAACAAACUUAGUUGG